rfam:Camelus ferus unplaced genomic scaffold scaffold558, whole genome shotgun sequence.
GAGGGUGUAACUCAGUGGUAGAGUGUUCACUUAGCAUGCAUGAGGUCCUGGGUUCAAUUCCCAGUACCUCCA